CUGUGGCACGCUCACUGCAGGCAGAACCUGCUGAUCGACGAGGUCUCUGCCAGCAGGACUCGGAAUAUUUUUGGUUUUUCCCACAGGCGUUGUCUGGUACAGACUUGAGCAGCGCUGCUCAAGCCAUGGAGGGAGUGUGUGCUGCAGUUUGCGCGGCUUUUUCCGUGGCUUAUUCUGGGUACUUUCUCACCCACCUGGCACGUCACAUCACCCGUGCCUGGAGAGAAUCCGGUCUUUGGAGCCCAACACCAACCUCGGAGGAUCCUCUGGCUGCGUGUCUUCCUGCAGAAGAGGCCAGAGGGGAGGAAGAUGCUCCCCAAACUGCGCCUGCUGCCACUGCAGGGCCUGAGCAUCCAGCAUCAGUAAGUAGCAGCUCUGGGUCGUGCUGUGGCUGGAGCAAAGCAUAGCUGCAAGUUUCUGAUCAGACAGCACCUCCUGUGCCUGGCUGAAGAUGCUGGAGGCCGGAAUCUUUCCGGCCCUUCCCCCAGUCAGUGGAGCUUGGAAAAGCAGAGUGGAACUUGGAUUGUUUAUGCAGCAGCUUCCUACUGUUCUGAAAGGGGCUGUGAAUUUGUCUUAGUAAGAGACAAGAGGUAGCAUUAGGAUGUCUUUGGAUGCUCCUGGGGUACAAGUGAGGUCCUUGGUGGCCAGUGGCUGUGCAGGCUCCCUGUCCCCUGUGAGGAGAGCAGUGCAAAGAUGCAGUUCACAAGCUUGCAGGAUAUGAGGAGGCACUGUCCCCAGCAGGGACCUGGCCCUCCCCACAGAGCAGCUAAAGUCAGUAGCUAAAGGAAGAGCUGAGCAGGGCCUGUAGCUGAAUAUAGGUAAGGUGGUGAAUGACAGGUUCUUUCCUAUCCCUCAUGCUGCUGUCUGUCCACAGAGCACAAGGGCAGCGUCAGCACCUGCUCUAGCUGCC